UACAGAGGGUGCGAGCGUUGUUCGGAAUUAUUGGGCGUAAAGCGCGUGUAGGCGGCCCUGCAAGUCGGAUGUGAAAUCCCACGGCUCAACCGUGGAAGUGCAUUCGAAACUGCAGGGCUAGAGUCCUGGAGAGGAAGGUGGAAUGCUUGGUGUAGAGGUGAAAUUCGUAGAUAUCAAGCGGAACACCGGUGGCGAAGGCGGCCUUCUGGACAGUGACUGACGCUGAGACGCGAAAGCGUGGGGAGCAAACAGG
rnacentral:rRNA from 1 species